CGGAGGGUGCAAGCGUUGUCCGGAUUCAUUGGGUUUAAAGGGUGCGUAGGCGGUCCUUUAAGUCAGCGGUGAAAUCCCACGGCUCAACCGUGGAACUGCCGUUGAUACUGAGGGACUUGAGUUCGUCCGAGGUCGCUGGAAUGCGUGGUGUAGCGGUGAAAUGCAUAGAUAUCACGCAGAACACCGAUUGCGAAGGCAGGUGACUGGGACGCGACUGACGCUGAGGCACGAAAGUGUGGGGAGCAAACAGGAUUAGAUACCCUGGUAGUCCACACCGUAAACGAUGGAUACUAGGUGUCCGGCCUUUCGGGGCUGGGUGCCCAAGGGAAACCGAUAAGUAUCCCACCUGGGGAGUACGUCCGCAAGGAUG
rnacentral:rRNA from 1 species